rnacentral:rRNA from 1 species
UACGUAGGGUGCGAGCGUUAAUCGGAAUUACUGGGCGUAAAGCGUGCGCAGGCGGUUUUGUAAGCCAGAUGUGUAAUCCCCGGGCUUAACCUGGGAAUGGCAUUUGGGACUGCAAGGCUGGAGUGUGGCAGAGGAGACUGGAAUUCCCGGUGUAGCAGUGAAAUGCGUAGAUAUCGAGAGGAACACCUGCGGCGAAGGCGGGUUGCUGGGCUGACACUGACGCUGACAGCGCGAAAGCUAGGGGAGCGAACGGG